UACAGAGGUCUCAAGCGUUGUUCGGAUUCAUUGGGCGUAAAGGGUGCGUAGGUGGCGGGGUAAGUCUGGUGUGAAAUCUCGGGGCUCAACCCCGAAACUGCACUGGAUACUGCCUUGCUUGAGUACUGGAGAGGAGAUUGGAGUUUACGGUGUAGCAGUGAAAUGCGUAGAUAUCGUAAGGAAGACCAGUGGCGAAGGCGAAUCUCUGGACAGUUACUGACACUGAGGCACGAAGGCCAGGGGAGCAAACGGG
rnacentral:rRNA from 1 species